rnacentral:misc_RNA from 1 species
UCCUGUGUUGGUUGCCGAAUGUGACGGAAAUUGACCCCGAGUGAGUCCUAAUUUUCGCCUCUCACCAAUUUGUGGUGUUAGGUUGACGUGGAAGUACUUCUCAUUGUCCUUGAAUGCUCUGCCCUUUCGCAUUGCAAUCAUGGCCCAUGGGUUGCUACCAGUUCCCUCGGAUGCAGAACUUGUGAAGGGUGCACAGUAUGUUUCUGUUGUUUACCCAGAAAGCGUUCGUGGCUCGAUGUGUACGACGGCUGCGCCCGCUUAUGUCCCGUCUUUAACCUAUUCGGACGGGGCCUAUGCGGUGCCGGCGUCACGAAGGAAUGCUACCUGGUUGAUCCUGCCAGUAGUCAUAUGCUUGUCUCAA